rnacentral:rRNA from 1 species
UACGAAGGGGGCUAGCGUUGUUCGGAAUUACUGGGCGUAAAGCGCACGUAGGCGGGUCGUUAAGUCAGGGGUGAAAUCCCGGAGCUCAACUCCGGAACUGCCUUUGAUACUGGCGAUCUCGAGAUCGGAAGAGGUGAGUGGAAUUCCCAGUGUAGAGGUUAAAUUCGUAGAUAUUGGGAAGAACACCGGUGGCGAAGGCGGCUCACUGGUCCGAUACUGACGCUGAGGUGCGAAAGCGUGGGGAGCAAACAGG